rnacentral:rRNA from 1 species
UACAGAGGGUGCGAGCGUUGUCCGGAAUCACUGGGCGUAAAGAGCUCGUAGGCGGUGUGUCGCGUCGGCCGUGAAAACCUGCAGCUUAACUGUGGGCUUGCGGUCGAUACGGGCAUCACUGGAGUUCGGCAGGGGAGACUGGAAUUCCUGGUGUAGCGGUGAAAUGCGCAGAUAUCAGGAGGAACACCGGUGGCGAAGGCGGGUCUCUGGGCCGAUACUGACGCUGAGGAGCGAAAGCGUGGGGAGCGAACAGG